AUGGAGGCCUCCAUGCUCAAGCCGUCGGUGUUGCUAUCUCCGGCGCGGGGGCGGGGCUGCGUCGUCGCCGGCGCCGGCGGCCGCGGCAGCAAGAACCUCGAGACACGGCGGCCGGAAGGGAGCGAGCCGGCCAGAGGAGCCCACGGCCAUGUCCUACCCCUGGCGGCAGCGGCGGUGAGCAGCAGCGCCGCCGCCCUGCCGUGCCACGCCGCGACCUCUCCGGCGGCGUACGAGCAAUCGCUGUACAGGGCGGCGGUGGUGCUGGGGGAGCUGGACCCGGCGACGGCGAAGGUGGUGAUCGGGGUGGCGGGGCCGGCGCUGUCGGCGGUGGGGUUCCUGUUCGUGGCGCGGAUCGUCAUGUCGUGGUACCCGAGGCUGCCGGUCACCAAGUUCCCCUACGUGGUGGCCUACGCGCCCACGGAGCCCAUCCUCGCCGCCACCCGCCGGGUCAUCCCGCCGCUGGGCGGCGUCGACGUCACGCCGGUGGUCUGGUUCGGCCUCGUCAGCUUCCUCAGCGAGAUCCUCGUCGGGCCCCAGGGCCUCCUCGUCCUCCUCUCCCAGCAAGUCUCUCCCUCGUAG
rnacentral:rRNA from 1 species